rnacentral:rRNA from 1 species
UCCGUAGGUGAACCUGCGGAAGGAUCAUUACUGAAUAUGGAAUAUCUUAUUCUUAAACCCACACUGAGUACUUGUACUUGUUGCUUCCGUGGGCAGCGAAUGUUGUGUUUGCGCCUGCUGAUGAAGUGGACCCACGGGAGACACCAAUAAACUCUGCCUUUUUGUGAUAUAUAGUCUGACUCUGUUUAUUCUUUAAACGUUAAAACUUUCAACAACGGAUCUCUUGGUUCUGGCAUCGAUGAAGAACGCAGCGAAAUGCGAUAAGUAAUGUGAAUUGCAGAAUUCAGUGAAUCAUCGAAUCUUUGAACGCACAUUGCGCCCCCUGGUAUUCCGGGGGGCAUGCCUGUUCGAGCGUCAUUUCAACCCUCAAGCUCUGCUUGGUAUUGGGCGUCGCCGGGGAGUCUCUCUCCGGCGUGCCUCAAAGCUAUCGGCGGUGGUGCCCUUCUCUAAGCGUGGUAGAAUUUUUAUUCGCUUCUGAGUUGGGCUUCGCCUGCCGGACAAACCGGGCCCUCGCGGCCCGCCUUCUCAGGUUGACCUCGGAUCAGGUAGGGAUACCCGCUGAACUUAAGCAUAUCAAUAAGGCGGGAGGGGAAGGUCGGACUGGCCAAGGGCACACAGGGGGGGAUA